AGGCCCUGCUUAAGGACUUCUGAUUUAAGGGCUCUUUAUCAGAGCCAGGAAACCUGCACUGAAUGGGCACCCCAUGGUGACUCUGGUGCAGGUGGCCUGAGGACUAAUUACCACCCUGGGUCUCUCCAGCGCUAAUUUGUAUGGAAGCCCACUCCUCUGAGAUGUAAUGAGGUAUCUGUUCCCUUUUCUAGGUGCAGGCCGAACCUCUUCAGCUGAGUUAUGGCGUGUAUUUGCAUAAAUUACCAUGCGAAACUUGUUAAUAUUUCCUAGAUUUCCUUUUUCACUGCUCCAUUAGACAAGACUUUGUGCUUUUGUUUAGGGCUGAAUGUCAGCCAAUCCAAACCCAUGGCUGCUCUGGCCUGGAACUUGAGGUGGUAAUUUAUUCCCCUCGUGGUGCCAGCUAUAGCGUCACCUAUCUGUCCUGACAAACGCUAUCUGAAAUCAGUUGGAUUUUAUCAUGCAAAUUGCAGGAAGUGUUAUCAUUAUGAGCAGUAGGAGGCUCCUGAUUUGGGAUCAUUGGCUAUCAAGUGAGGCCCAACUGCUAGGCAUUGGGGGGUGAGUCAGAUAAAGAGAGGGAAGGGGCAAAGGAGGGGUGCUACCCAGGACUGAGGUCUCUUGGGCUUGGCUCCUCUAGGAAAAAGAGGGUUCAAAAUGAUGCUUAAAGUUGCUCAACCCAAAGAUUCCAAAGGGUUAGGAAGAGAGGUGGGCGAGAGAAGAGGGGAGAAGAUCACCAUACUUCAUCGUGAAGGCAAAAGAAGCUAUCUGUGCCUGGACAGAUCACUCCAGGUAGACUUGCAACAUGGAAAAUACAGCUUUACCUGUCAGAGCCAGGACCUCAGUGACAAUCAUUUCCUUUGUAGCUUAACAAAGGCCCAAAGGGGAGAAUCACAUGACCAAGUCAAGAAAGUAAUUUGCAAGUCCUAACCCAGGCCUGCUGAGCCCCAGUCCUACAAUCCUGUUCCCCUGGUUUUUCUUCUCUCAAAGCUGUUGUCUAGGCCUUUAGAAGAGGCCUCAGAUUUACUCAGCUUCCUACCACACGUACCUCAUCCAUUUCUAUUUUCCUUGAAUCCAAACUUCACAACUAGAAUUCUCCAGCUGGAAAGCUCUUCUGCCUAGCUACUGCAGUCUACUCACCUCAUCUAAACAUUGUUUGGCUUCCCCUGAGCCCUUCUCUGUCCACUGCAUUCACUUGUCUUUUUUUCUUUUACAUUCUUGGAGUCCAUGAUAGUACAUUUCUGUAGCCCACCACUGUGAAGGGCAGCUUGGGUUAAGGAGUGCUGCCCUGAGCAGGCCUAAUAUGUUCUCUUCCCAAUGGUAAUUGCAAAUAAAAGAAAGUGUAACAGAAACCAUGAUUCUUUAACCUUUGAUAUUAAAAUUUCAGCCACAGUUAUAGCAGGCUCAUUAGAAAUAUCUCCAGGAUGAGCUGCUUCUUAAUGGCCUCCCUCAGGCCACAGUGGCAAGGGAAUGAGUUUAUUUUCUAUUCUCCCAAUUCUGCACAUCUUCCUAAAGCAGACUGAACAACAUGGGGGUAAUGUUCAAGAAGCCAGGAGAGAGGGGAGAAAGAACCAGAGUAGACAGAGGCACAGAGAUCAUAGAAAACACGCUAAGACAAGAGUUGCAAGAUUCCCAUGCAACUGAACAUGGGACAACAGGAAACUUCACAGAGCUUGGAGAAGGAACAGAGAGAGGAACUGCUGGCAACUGACUGACCAGAGUCAGCAGUCAUCUGGGAUCCUGAUUAUCUCUUUGAAUUUAGGGAUGAGUUCUGCCUCUCUGGCCUCUGUGUCCCGUUCUAUAAAUUGAAGUCUCAGGGUGAGCUAUCUCCAUUACAGUACAAUUCUUAACGACCUUCUGUCCACAGGAGUCACUGGCAACAGGCCUGCACCAACACUAGGACUUCUGGAGGAGACACCACCCCUGUGGCUCCUAAAGAUUUCAGGAAGGUGGCCAAGGUACCACAAAGGACCCCAAACCCUUUCGCCUUGGUCCAACCCCAUCCAAGACUGUCAUGGAAAAAUGGGUGAAUCUCUCAUCCCUUCAAAGCAGAGAAAAUCAAGGCCUGUCUCUUUCUUAGCCUUACCAAAGAUAUGCCUAAGAGUAGAAUGUUCUUUUGAAUCUGUCUUUUCAAGUGUUAAGAAAUUAAGUCUUUGUCCAGUUAUGUGUAUUAAUGCUUCCAGAGCUGCAAGCCUUCUGCCACUUUCCUACUUCCCUUUCCCUCAUGUUUCCUGUCAAGCAUGUCAGGAAGUCGAAUCCCUGGACCCAGACCUAGGGUUUUGUAGGUCUACAAAGCAUCAAUUGACUUUUAGGGUUUAACACGUCUAACUACAGGACAAAUGCCAUUCUAGUAAAACAGGUGAGGACAGUGUCUUUCACGUCCCACCAACACCUCCUUGGCCAGACAGACAAGGGUCGAGGCCAUGCCUCAGCAGCAAGGGGCUCAGGAACUGGUAAGGAACGGUCCUUGCGCUUUGUCUCUGCGAUUCUCUCCCUUCUCAGGAGGCCUCACUCCCGCAUGCCACUGGCUGCCAUGUCUGACAGUAUCUCAGACACACAUCCUGAACAUGGACUGUCCCCAGAGAAAUGUCAGCGCCUAAUCCUGUCAUCGGGAGCCAUCCAUGCACAGCCAAGCUACAGCCAGACCCAGUGUUCCCAGGAAAGGGCUGUCAGUCAUCAGUAAUCGCACAGCCGGAGAGAUUCCACAUCGAACCAGCACCCGUGGGCUUCGGCAGGAGCAGGAAAGGACAGACAGGGCUGUGAAAAAACGCAGAGAGCACAGACUGCGAGGAGCCUCGGAUGGAAAUGUGCUUCAGGCUGACGUACCUCAAGGCAGUUUGCUGCUGUCAUGGUUGGACAGGGUCACCCCCGUGGUCAGUAGACGUAACCUGCUAUGGUUGAUUAGCCACCUCUUGGGGAAAAUAGCUACCAACUCCUGAAGUGAGUCUGUCAUUCGCCCAUCCCUCAGUCUCACACAUAACCUUUAAUGAGCAACUGUUACAUGCAUGGCAUGCACCUUUAAAAACCAAGUUUGGAGCGACGGGACCAUGAAAGUUCAAACUUGGCAGCAAAAUGAAAAGACUCUGCACACACUCCCAACGCCACUAUUCAGUUCUCUGUUUUUUGCUCCUGGUUCCCCCAUCCCACAAACUCCUUGCUCUUUUAGUCAGUGGAAUGCAGAUUCAGAAACUGUGUUUGAAUAUUUGCUGUGAUCCUGCUAUUCUCAAGCAGGAAAUGCUUUGGAUGUCACAAUAUAUAUACUGAUAUGGAAAUAAUGUUGUCAACUGUAAAAGGAGACUGCUCGUUCCUUCCUGGCCGCCCAGACCCAGAUGAUCACACAGAAACUAUAUAAAUUACAACACUGUUUGGCCAAUGACCUAGCUAACUCUUACAUCUUAAUUUAACCCAUUUCUGUUAAUCUGUGUAUCACCACGAGGCUAUGGCUUAUGUAAGGUUCUAUCUUUCUCUUUCAGCAGCUGCAAGGCAUCUCGCUGACUCUACCUACUCUCUGUUUGGAUUUCCUGACUAGCUUCACUCUGCUAAGCCAUUGGCUGAAAUAUCUUUAUUCAUCAACCAAUAAAAGCCACACAUACAGAAAGGCAUCCCAUAUUAGUCAACCCUGUUGCAAGAUAGUAGACCUAAAAGGCAGUGAACUUAAAUGAUAAUAUCAGUAUCCUAGCCCAGGAUCAAAGUGUCAAAUCCUCUUCUCUCCCUUGGUGUGACCACAGGUUCUUUCUUUCCUCCUUCCACUGUCUGCCUGCCUUUCUUCCCCAUUUUCUCCCUUUCUUCUUUCCUUUCCCUCCCUCCUUCCUUCUUUCCUCCCAUCUUGCUUGUCCCUGUCCAUUCACCUCUCCCUCUCUCCCACCUCUCUAUUUUAGGGGUUGAACCAAGUUCUUGUGCUUGCUAGGCCAGACCUCUGCUAUGGAGCCAUGUCUUAGUCUGUGGCUGUAGGUCCUGCCUGAAGCUUUUUCUCUGCAAAGGCCUAGCCGAAUCACUGCCUAUAUGGGUGAAUCACGUGUUUGUUCAGCCAGAAGCCCUGUGGAGCAAGAAGGCUGUUUGCAGGAAUCCUUGUUACAGAUCCAGAAGCCCAGAGAAGGGAACUAAAAGAUCCUGGGGAAAGUUUCAAAGGUUUAACACCAUAGCCAGAAGUGGUUUGCAGUUUCUUCACAGGGAAUUCUGGCACCUAGAUGUUUUGACCUUAUCAGGUGACAGCAGAAGGGAUGGGAAAGUGACUCUGGACAUCCCUCAUGAAACACAUCCUGAAAGAUGUUGAGGAAAUGGAAUGUCUCAAGGUUAUCAAGCCUAUUUAUCUCCUGUCAGCUUUGAUUAGAGACAGAGGGCAUUUACCACAGCCUAACCUUUUGGUCCCACAUGAUUUGUGUCUGACAUUUGGCUGGAGGAGGAAAUAUAAAACAAUGACAAUGCUUUGCCCUGCUACCCCAACCACAACCUGGCCACCAGGUUUGCUCUUGGGCAGGAUGGGAGGCAGGUCAGAUGCACUGUGAGUUGUCCAGUUGCACCUUUUCUUCAAAUCUUUUGAUUUCUUUCUGUUUCUCAUGGUCUUAAACCUGUCCUCAUUCGUUUCACCCCACAGACCUAGCCCCAGACCUUUUCAGGUUAGGAGUGUCUGAAAGACAACCCUCUCCUUGAGGGAAAAAUACAUCUCUAGGUAAAAAGAUGCUGGAGACAUGUGCCCAUGCCACCACUCUGACUCCUUGAUUGCUUUUUGUUACUGCUUGUGACUUCUGUGGUCUACAUAGCAGGCUUAGUUUACUGAGAACCUCAAAGACAAAAAUGACUUCACUUACUUUGCUGAAUUGUCUUUCAUAGUCCAACUUUUCUGACAAAUGUGGAUGGGUAAAGAAUGUUAGAUGGGGUACAGAGAAGUGUGAGGAAGAAUGAGGAAUCCUCAGUGGGGGAUCUAGGAAGGCUUUGAUGAUGGAGGCACAGAAGGGAGAGGGUGCCUCUUUGCUCCUGUUUCCCUUCUGAGACUCCUCAGAUCCUGCUACCUACAUGGUUCAUUCAGCAAGCCUUUGCCAUACCUGCCCUGACUAUGAAGUGAAAUGCCAUUUUACUCCAUCAAAAGACUCUCCUCUCCUAAUUAAGAUCAUUACAUUACUCCAGGAGGGUAGGCCUGCUCCCUCUUUAUCUUCCUAUUGUCAGAUCCAGAGUAAACCAUGGGCAAAUGGUUAUCUGUGGUGCCUGUUAGCAUACCAAAGUGCAUGCUAGCCUCCACCCUCUCAGUACCUGGCCCUUUUCUCAGCUCUUCUCACCUGACUUCCUACCCUAAACUUCUCUAGCUCAUGGGCUUCCCUUCCCCCAGAUUCUUACUCCUAUAAAACCCUUCCAUUUCAGCUGUGGUCUUUCUUGGUCCUCUCUCUUUUCUCUUUCUUUCUUGUUCCCCCUACCCCCUCUCAUGGCCCAGUUCUGUCUACUGGCCUUUUUCAGCACACUGCUUUCUCUCCCUGCUCUAGACUCUUCUAGAUUCCUCUGGCUGUGUUCUCCCUCAUAUCUACAAUAAAAACCCUUGUUCCAACAACACUUUGGAGCAACCAUGUCCUAUCUUUUAUACAUCCGAUACUGAAACCUUCACUUCAUACACCUAUCUCUUUUAGUUCUGAGCUCUGGACAUUAAAAUUUCAACAAAUGAUUUUGUUUUGUGAUUAAUACAGAAGAACAAGAUUCUACUACUGAGUAAUAUUUACAUAAAAGCUUAUGUGGGAGAAAUUUAGAGGUGACAAGAUGAGAAAUGAGUUAUAGUGACAUUUCAUUUGUAUUUUAAUAAAGUUUGUGUGACUAUCAGAAAAGUAAAACAGCCACACUGGCCAGCUUUACAAUCCCAGUAGCCACAGUAGUUUGCCAUAAAAACCAGGUGGUAGUGGUGCACACCCUUAAUCCCAGCACUAGAGAGGAUUACAAAAUGGGAGGAGACAGCUCUCAGUCACAGUCUCAUUCUAAGAUUCCAUAAGGCAGGAUUGCCAUUAUGGAUGAAGUCGAGGUAAGAGCCAGUAGCUAGCUGCUUUGCUUUUCAGGUCUUCAGCUUGAAUCCCAAUUUCAGUCUCUGAAUUUUUAUUAAUCCUGCUACAGAGAAUGCUUCUCUGUUUACCAUGCUGGUUGGCAGCAUGUAGCUGGGAGAAUAGAGCCUAGAAAUGAGACAGGCUGAACAAGUCUCGUGCAAUAGCCAGCUUUAUUCAGAGCAUCAGACAGUUUGUACUCUGAGGUUUAAGAAGGGUCACCUGAGUAAAAUGUACAACAACAGCAAGGACAAGCUUCAUAUGGUAUAAACCCCGUCUUUCCAUGGAGGCAAAUAAAUAACAACAGUCAGCUGUAAUAAGUAAUCUGAAGCAAGCUCACUCCUAUUCAAGACACCUCAGAGGGGCUCGAAGCACAUUCCAAGCAAAACCCAUGUUAUAGGGGAACAGAGGUUACAAGGUUCUUGUCUAGUUUACUUGAUUUUAUUUCUUACAAGGACUCAUUCUCCUCACACAGCUUCCUUCACGGGCCAUGUCUGACACUCUUCCAAGGAGGUCUUGUACUCAAGGAUCCUUCACAGCGGCAGCCCCUUAACAUUUAACUGUGUUUAACUCUGUGCAGGUGCAGUAGGUUGUAUGCGUACCUGUCCUUGUACGCCUGGGGAGGCCAGAGGCCCUUAUUGGGUGCCUACCUCAGUCAAUACCAUCUUAUCCAAAGCCACAGAGAAACCCUGUCUCGAAAAACCAAAAAGAAAAAAAAAAUACCAUCUUAUCUUUUGAGACAGCGUCUCUCACCGAGUCUGAAGCCCACUCUUUUGGGUACACUGACUACCUAAACUCCCACCCUCCCUGGGAUCCUCUUCUCUUUCUGACCCCAGUACCAGGGUUUCAGCUGCUAUCCAGCUUUUUACAUGGAUGUGGGGAUCCAAACACAGGUCCUCAUGCUUGCGUGGCAGGCACAUUAACAGCAGAGCCAUUUCUGAGUUAAGCUUGCCCACUUCAGUUUCCUUUCUCAUAAAGUGAAAGUCGCAGUGCUUCCCCUCGAGGACUCCCUGGAAAUGAAAAGCAGCUACCACACAUAAGCAAGGGAUUCAUACCUGAGCUAUGGAGUCAGGCGCAUGGAACUGAGUUGUGGCUCUGUGUCCUGCCCACUGUGGACAUCAGACAAGUGGCUUUCCUUAGCCUCAGUUUCCUAGUAUGCAAGAAGAAACUAACAUUGCUUAUCUUGUUACAUGAAUUGGCUUGUGUAAUAUAUUUAGUUCAGUCUCUAGCAUGUAGUAAAAGUUUAAUAGAUAUGAAAUACUACAAAGUUGCUCCCAUAUUUUUAUCAAUUUUUCUUUCUUCUCUGCAGAAAGACUUGGUCUAAAGAAGAAUCCCAUAUCUCUUUUCUUUCUGAGUGCUUUGUUUACAAAACAGGAAUGGACAACAUUACUUCUCAAAACAUUUAUCAGAGUGUAAGCUAGUCAGGCGGCUGGGACAAACAAACCACCCCUCCUUCUGUAACAGAUGCCAUUGUGUAUCCAGAAGUUGGCAAGAGUGAAACCUGGGUCUAGCCAGUCUGAGAUAGAAACUGCAGCUCUGUCCUGGAGGUCUUUAUUGCACACUGGAAGUCUUCAAUUUGGAUGAUGCAGGUCUAUAAGGCAGUUCUUUGUGUUUAUCGACAUGGCAGGAUUAAAGCUUUGGUUUGGGUUUC